rnacentral:rRNA from 1 species
ACGAACGCUGGCGGCAUGCCUAACACAUGCAAGUCGAACGAGACCUUCGGGUCUAGUGGCGCACGGGUGCGUAACGCGUGGGAACCUGCCCUUAGGUUCGGAAUAACUCCCCGAAAGGGGUGCUAAUACCGGAUAAUGUCUUCGGACCAAAGAUUUAUCGCCUUUGGAUGGGCCCGCGUUGGAUUAGCUAGUUGGUAGGGUAAAAGCCUACCAAGGCGACGAUCCAUAGCCGGUCUGAGAGGAUGAUCAGCCACACUGGGACUGAGACACGGCCCAGACUCCUACGGGAGGCAGCAGUGGGGAAUAUUGGACAAUGGGCGAAAGCCUGAUCCAGCAAUGCCGCGUGAGUGAUGAAGGCCUUAGGGUUGUAAAGCUCUUUUACCCGGGAUGAUAAUGACAGUACCGGGAGAAUAAGCUCCGGCUAACUCCGUG